UGGCUGAAAUGUCCAUCACCAUAUUGAUUGCCAGGGUUGAUCUGGCUGAUCUGGAUGGGUAUCUCUUUCCU
rnacentral:sRNA from 1 species